rnacentral:rRNA from 1 species
GAUGAACGCUGGCGGCGUGCCUAAUACAUGCAAGUCGAGCGAACGGACGAGAAGCUUGCUUCUCUGAUGUUAGCGGCGGACGGGUGAGUAACACGUGGAUAACCUACCUAUAAGACUGGGAUAACUUCGGGAAACCGGAGCUAAUACCGGAUAAUAUUUUGAACCGCAUGGUUCAAAAGUGAAAGACGGUCUUACUGUCACUUAUAGAUGGAUCCGCGCUGCAUUAGCUAGUUGGUAAGGUAACGGCUUACCAAGGCAACGAUGAAUAGCCGACCUGGGAGGGUGAUCGGCCACACUGAAACUGAGACACGGUCCAGACUCCUACGGGAGGCAGCAGUAGAGAAUCUUCCGCAAUGGGCGAAAGCCUGACGGAGCAACGCCGCGUGAGUGAUGAAGGUCUUCGGAUCGUAAAACUCUGUUAUUAGGGAAGAACAUAUGUGUAAGUAACUGUGCACAUCUUGACGGUACCUAAUCAGAAAGCCACGGCUAACUACG